rnacentral:rRNA from 1 species
AGUGAACGCUGGCGGUAGGCCUAACACAUGCAAGUCGAACGGCAGCACAGUAAGAGCUUGCUCUUACGGGUGGCGAGUGGCGGACGGGUGAGGAAUACAUCGGAAUCUACUUUUUCGUGGGGGAUAACGUAGGGAAACUUACGCUAAUACCGCAUACGACCUACGGGUGAAAGCAGGGGAUCUUCGGACCUUGCGCGAUUGAAUGAGCCGAUGUCGGAUUAGCUAGUUGGCGGGGUAAAGGCCCACCAAGGCGACGAUCCGUAGCUGGUCUGAGAGGAUGAUCAGCCACACUGGAACUGAGACACGGUCCAGACUCCUACGGGAGGCAGCAGUGGGGAAUAUUGGACAAUGGGCGCAAGCCUGAUCCGGCCAUACCGCGUGGGUGAAGAAGGCCUUCGGGUUGUAAAGCCCUUUUGUUGGGAAAGAAAAGCAGCAGGUUAAUACCCCGCUGUUCUGACGGUACCCAAAGAAUAAGCACCGGCUGACUUCGUG